UCGGAACGUGCUUGCAACAGAUGUGUG
rnacentral:piRNA from 1 species